AUACGGAGGGUGCAAGCGUUACUCGGAAUCGCUGGGCGUAAAGGACGCGUAGGCGGAUUGGAAAGUCAGAUGUGAAAUCCUACAGCUUAACUGUAGAACUGCAUUUGAAACUUCUAAUCUAGAGUAUGGGAGGGGGAGAUGGAAUUAGUGGUGUAGGGGUAAAAUCCGUAGAUAUCACUAGGAAUACCGAAAGCGAAGGCGAUCUCCUGGAACAUAACUGACGCUAAGGCGUGAAAGCGUGGGGAGCAAACGGGAUUAGAAACCCUAGUAGUCC
rnacentral:rRNA from 1 species